rnacentral:rRNA from 1 species
UACGUAGGUGGCAAGCGUUAUCCGGAAUUACUGGGUGUAAAGGGCGUGUAGGCGGCCUUAUAAGUUGGGUGUUUAAUUCCCGGGCUCAACCCGGGGUUGUCACUUAAAACUGUAGGGCUUGAGGCUCAGAGAGGACAGUGGAAUUCCUAGUGUAGCGGUAAAAUGCGUAGAUAUUAGGAGGAACACCGGUGGCGAAGGCGGCUGUCUGGCUGAGUACUGACGCUGAUGCGCGAAAGCGUGGGGAGCAAACAGGAUUAGAUACCCUGGUAGUCCCUGAGCGGG